rnacentral:tRNA from 1 species
GAAGUAGCUCAGCCGGGAGAGCGGUCGCCGCGGCGACAAGUCGGGGGUUCGAGUCCCCCCGGCUCCACCA